rnacentral:rRNA from 1 species
CGUAGAUAACCUGCCCUUUAUGGGGAAGUAACAUCUCGAAAGAGAUGCUAAUACCGCAUAAGUUGUUCUCUGAUAGGAGAACAAGAAACGCUUUCCUUGAUCGGAAAGUGGCUGGAGGAGGGGUCUGCGGCGGAUUAGCUAGUUGGCGGGGUAACGGCCCACCAAGGCGACGAUCCGUAGCUGGUCUGAGAGGACGGCCAGCCACACUGGGACUGAGACACGGCCCAG